rnacentral:rRNA from 1 species
GAUGAACGCUGGCGGCGUGCCUAACACAUGCAAGUCGAACGGGAACCGAUUUCGGUCGGGGAGAGUGGCGCACGGGUGAGUAACACGUAGCUCACCUGCCCUCAAGGCGGGGGAUAACGGCUCGGAAAGGGCAGCUAACGACCCCAUAAGCUCACACGAAGUAGGACAGAGUGAAGAAAACUCAGGUGCUUGAGGCGUGGGGCUGCCGGCCCAUCAGGUAGUUGGUGCGGUAACGGCGCACCAAGCCGACGACGGGGUAGGGGCCUGAGAGGGUC